UUCUUUUUUUUUCCUCUUUCUCCUUUUCUUUCUUUUUCAUUUCUCUUUUUUCUGAUUGUUUGGCGGGGAACAUUAUCCUUUCUUUUUUUCUCUCCUCCCGUUUUUCCUUUCUGGGUCUCUGCCAUUCAUCACUCAUCCACAAACUUCAUUUACUAUUCACACAAUAGUGAAUUGUCGAAUAUGCCCCCAAUUUCCUUCUUAUAUGUUUUUGUCAUUUUCCUUAAGAAUAGUGCCCGAAAUAUUUUAACCUUAGGCCAUCUUGGUACACUUGUUUCUUUUUUCCUCUUUCUCCUUUUCUUUCUUUUUCAUUUCUCUUUUUGUGAUUGUUUGGCGGGGAACAUUAUCCUUUCUUUUUUUCUCUCCUCCCGUUUUUCCUUUCUGGGUCUCUGUCAUUCAUCACUCAUCAUUCAUCAUUCAUCACCUUCCUCCGUUCUUUCUCCCCAUUUUUGAUCUCCCUUCUUCCCUUCAUGCUGAUUGUUUAUCCUCUCGUCUUUCUCUUCCAUUUCUGACCAGAUCUCUAAACUUUGGAGAUCGGGAAUGAAAGAGAUUGAAGAGUUUAAUGAUAAUAAAGGAACGAUACAUCGAUUCAUAGAUCUGAAACUCUCGAAGAUUCUAAAGAUGAAUAUUUAAGGCAUGAAUUUGCUUGAUUGUUACUCCGCCGCAUCGACAACCACCAAUCUCCUGCGCAAAAUUAUCAAUUAUUGCUUCGUUGAUAAAUGGAGCCCUAACAGCUUUAUAUUUCAUCCUUUGGGAAAAAGGCGUCAAAGGGGUCAAAGCAGUGGCCUUCUUCGUUCAGGUGCUGUACUUGGAGUAUUAUCUACGAUUCUGUAUGGCGUAGGGGUCAUAUCGGGAAGAAGCAUCCAAGAAGCUCUAAAGGAUAUUGAUUGGACAACUCGUAAGGCUCGUCAUUAGCGCUGGGAGAUCGAGAUUGCUUCAAGUGGAGGGCCUUCUUGGUACCUUUCAAGGCUUCUUUCACUCGGACACUUGAGUCAUGCUGCUUUGAUAAGGUGAAACCAGUCAGGGAUACAACAUUGUAGGCACUUCAUUGCUGGAAAAGUAUUGAAAGGAAGAAUGUGUCUGGACCUUCAGGUCUAUUGAUUCACUGGAUGUCUGCAUUUGUGCGGAGAUCCGAACUAGAAUAUCACAUACAAUUUUGAACUUGUGUCCAUAACCCCUUUAAGCUUUACAAUGAAGAGUACGCAACACUGAACUCAUGACUCGUGAGGGAUGCAAUCUGCAUUUGUUAUAUGUUGCUCAUGUAUUUCUAUACAUUAUUUAGAGAGGCAACCCAUAACCGGUGUUACAAUGAUGCAUCCUCCGUGGGUGGGUGGAAUUCCCCUCUAAUGAAUCUUUAUGGUUCGAAACAAGGUGCAAGGAGUACACUUUGAGGUUUGUUUUUGUUAUUCCGCUGAAUAUGUAGGUAAUUACCAAACCAAAUCCAUCUUAAUUUUCAAAUGUUGGUUGUGCAGAUGGAAUUCACACUAACUUGUCAAAAUGGGACUACCUUGUCUAAAUAUCUAACAUAUAUAAUUAGAAUACUUCAUUUUUUUACGUGCUAGGGAAAAAAAAAGAUACAUGUAUCGUUAAAUGUGCAAAAUGAUCAACCUAUUGUGUAUAGUACACUUGCCUCAUAUCACCUUCUGAGGUCGUGAAGGAGCUUCUCCGCACCGACAUGUUCUGUUUUGAUGGAGGUUGGACUGACUCUUUGUCCAUGUGCAAUGCAAUGGUGUUGCUUGAAGCAAGUGGUCAUGGAGGAUGACAACGUAGAGGAAUGAGUGCUUUAUUCCUUUCCAACAUGCUCAUUGCGAACUGCAUAUAUAUGGAAUCAUUGCAAGCAUUUCUUUCAUGGUUAUGUGUGUGAUUUUUCAACCCCCCACCCCCACCCCUCACCCAAAAAAAAUAACUUUGCAACCAAAC